rnacentral:rRNA from 1 species
ACGAACGCUUGCGGCAUGCCUAACACAUGCAAGUCGAACGAGACCUUCGGGUCUAGUGGCGCACGGGUGCGUCACGCGUGGGAACCUGCCCUUAGGUUCGGAAUAACUCCCCGAAAGGGGUGCUAAUACCGGAUAAUGUCUUCGGACCAAAGAUUUAUCGCCUUUGGAUGGGCCCGCGUUGGAUUAGCUAGUUGGUAGGGUAAAAGCCUACCAAGGCGACGAUCCAUAGCUGGUCUGAGAGGAUGAUCAGCCACACUGGGACUGAGACACGGCCCAGACUCCUACGGGAGGCAGCAGUGGGGAAUAUUGGACAAUGGGCGAAAGCCUGAUCCAGCAAUGCCGCGUGAGUGAUGAAGGCCUUAGGGUUGUAAAGCUCUUUUACCCGGGAUGAUAAUGACAGUACCGGGAGAAUAAGCUCCGGCUAACUCCGUG